rnacentral:lncRNA from 1 species
CAAGGAAGUGAUGUCAAGGUGCUGAGAACUGCCAAGACGCUCUGGCUUGUGGCAUGUGACACUCUGAUGUUCGCAGAAACCCACCCGCUGAUUCAAUACGGGGACCAGGAACCUGCCAUGACAGUCACGACUCAGUCUGCCUGCACCUACAUGAUUAAAAAGCUUUAUUGCUCACACAAAGCCUGUUUGGUGGUCUCUUCAUAUGGAUGCGCAUAACAUUUGGUGCCGAAGACCCCGGACAGGGUGACUCCUUCGGGAGAUUGGUCCCCUCUCCUCACCCUCACUCCAUGAGAAGAUCCACCUACGACCUCAGGUCCUCAGACCAGCCCAAGGAACAUCUCACCAAUUUCAAACCGGACAGGAAUGUCAGGCCUCUGAGCCCGAGCUAAGCCAUCAUAUCCCCUGUGACCUGCGCUUAUACAUCCAGAUGGCCUGAAGCAACUGAAGAACCACAAAGAAGUGAAAAUACCCAGUUCCUGCCUUAACUGAUGACAUUCCACCAUUGUAAUUUGUUCCUGCCCCACCCUAACUGAUCAGUUGACCUUGUGACAUUCCUUCUCCUGGACAAUAAAUCUCAGGAGCUCCCCACUGAGCACCUUGUGACCCCCGCCUGUACCCGCAAGAGGACAACCCCCUUUAACUGUAAUUUUCCACUACCUACACAAAUCCUAUAAAACCGCCCCAUCCCUAUCUCCCUUUGCUGACUCUUUUUUCAGACUCAGUCUGCCUGCACCCACAUGAUUAAAAAGCUUAAUUGCUCACACAAAGC